GUUUUGCUGCUCUCUGGCACAAAAGACAGGAACUGCAGUUAUUUCAUGAUGGUUACGGCUGUCAGUUGUGCCAACAACACAACAUUAAACUUAAAAAUAAAACAUUAUUAAAAAUGUGAAAAUAAAAAAAAAUAAAAAAAUAAAUGAAAUAAAAAAUAACUUCAACUGGAAUUUAAAAAGGCGUUUUGCUGCUCUCUGGCACAAAAGACAGGAACUGCAGUUAUUUCAUGAUGGUUACGGCUGUCAGUUGUGCCAACAACACAACAGUAAACUUAAAAAUAAAACAUUAUUAAAAAUGUGAA